UUAUCAUCAGACUGGUGAUACACAUAAGUUCACGAUGUACUCAUUGAAUUUUAGUUGCUUGUGGAUUCUGUUUGACUUCGCCCGGUUAAAAAAUACAGAUUAUAUACGAUCAAGAUUCAUUUAGUGAAGUUAUCGACUAAGUGUCAAAAUCGUUUUUGUAAAAUCAAGUUUUUUUCUGGAAUUUCAAGAUAUUCCAAAAUGUUGGCGCUAAUGCAAAUAAUAGUGUGUGUCCUAUGCUACUUAUGUUUGGAAGUUCACGCUACUAUCUACUAUAAAGACUAAUGUCAACAAUGGCAAUGUCAGUCUAUGCUACGUAAAUCGAAGGUAUCACUGCUUCUGCGAGCUCUUAGAUGGAGAACUGAAGAAUAAGACUAGAGUUCUUUUAACCGAUCCAUGGGGUCAUUUCCCCAAUAAAGUAUCAAUAACUAGCACGCCAGAUGGUGGUGUCAUCGUCGGUCACGCUGAUACAAGUAAAGGUAAUUAUUUUCAUUUGACAUUUGUGAAACAGGAACCAGUCAGUUUUUAUAUUCGACGCAUCAAUCCGGAUGGAAGCACAAACGAGCUGAUGGAUCUUGGAACACGCAGCGUAUCGAUGCAUUUUGAAAUGCAGGGAUUCCUAAUGGAAAAUAAAGAAUUUUGUCUGGUUACAACGGCAAAAAUAAAUCCACAAUUACUUUACUCACGAAUACAGUCAAUUUCUGUUGACUCGUGUGUAAAGUUAAAGAAAUUUGCGAAACCAAAAGAAUUCAUGUUUGAAACAUUUAUAAGAUAAUAAUAGUACAUUACGAUACAUGUGACUUAAAUGGUUCUUUUUUACACGGCGCAGUUAGCA